rnacentral:rRNA from 1 species
GACGAACUCUGUCGGCUUGCAUAAUACAUGCAAGUCGACCUUAGUGUCGAACGGGCGAUCAACACCUGGGUAACCUGCCUAUCAGAAGGGGAUAACUCUUGGAAACAGGUCCUAAUACCGUAUACUCAUGGAUGGACCCGCGGUGCAUUGGCUAGUCGGUGAGGUAACGGCUCACCAGGGCCACGACGAAUAGCCGACCUGAGAGGGUGAUCGGCCACAUUGGGACUGAGACACCGAACACACUCCGACGGGAGGCAGCAGUAGGGAAUCUUCGGCAAUUGACGAAAGUCUGACCGAGCAACGCCGCGCGAGAGAAGAAGGUUUUCGGAGCGUAGAACUCUGUUGUUAGAGAAGCGGUAUCUAGCCAGAAGGACACGGCUAACUACGGGCCAGCAGCCGCGGUAAUAC